AUUUUAUUUGAGCCUAUCUGCGUUCGUUCGUCUUUGCUGCGGUGACACGGUGCAGCAGUGUGGUUGAAGGAGCAAUGGCUGGUGGCAAUGGAGAGGGAGGGUGGCUGGCUAGCUGGCUGGCUACAGUGUUUUGGUCAGUCUUGCCCCACACGCUCUUUUAACCAGUGUUUCCGUAUUCCCGGCAGCUUCUCCCUGCACCAGAGAGGCACGAGUACGUAAGGUGUUUGCAACCGUUUCCAAAAUUCUGGCGUGUAGAUAACAGUAGUAGAAGGAGAGAAAAAAAAAAAAAAUAGAGAAAUGGAGGAGAAAGAAGUGAGGAGAAAUGGAAGAAGAGGAGGAGGCAUAACAGAUACCAAUGUAGAGAGACAAGAUAGAAAAGUAGGAAGACCACCACUAUCAGCACACUGGAGGAAGGGAUGGAGACAGGUGGGAUGGAGGGCAGUGGAGGCCUCCCUAAUAAAGAUGGAGACAGAGAAAAAAUACACCCAAACUCAACCUAACUGAGCACCCCUAGCACCACCCAAACACAUCCCCAAACCAAAGCCUAACCUAAUCCAAUGAUUUUCAGAGGCUGGAGAAGGUGGAGGAUGAGUCGGUCAAGCUUCAGAAAUACAAGAAGGAUUACAAGCAGCUCCUGAAGAGGCUGAAGACUUUGUUGGAUAAGAUUAGCCAUGAGGUUGAAAGGGGAGAGAGAGUGAGAGAGAGAGAGAGAGAGAGAGAGAGAGAGAGAGAGAGAGAGAGAGAGAGAGAGGAUAAGAUUAGCCAUGAGGUUGAAAGGGGAGAGAGAGAGAGAGAGAGAGAGAGAGAGAGAGAGAGAGAGAGAGAGAGAGAGAGAGAGAGAUUACAGUAACCACCACCUGUACUACUACUACUGUUAAACAUAUAUUACUACUAGAGUGGAAGCUCAAACAAGUUUUGCAUGGGUUCAUGAAUGGUGUUUGGGUGUGCGAAUGCACAACACCCCGCAGGAUCAGAUGCCGGCUGGUGCACUUGGUGAGCUGUGGUGAAUGCAGCCAUCCAUCACCCUGCCAUGACCUGUAUAUUUUGUGAAUAGAUUACAUACAGGCUAGAUAGUACGUAUUCCAUAUAGAACAAUAAGAUCAUAGAAAAAAUACCGUAAGUGGAUGACUGGUGGCUUAAAACACUACAUAGGACUGAAAAAAAGAAGUACAGUGGAACCUUGGUUCUCGAAUUUAAUUCAUUCUUGAAUGCUGUUUGAAAUAUGAAAUGUUUGAAAACCGAAGCUAUUUUUCCCAUAGGGAAUCAAUGUAAAAUGGAUUAAUCUGUUCCCAGGGAGCCAUCCUGCCUUAGCUUAUGACAGAUGCUCCCACUACUAAGAAGGCUGCUUCACAACAUCUUCAGCUCAGAUACUAUUUAUCCAGAAAGGAUGUAUUGAAUUAACUUAGUGACACAGAACUCAUCAGAAGGUAUUGUUUGAACUGUGCAGGUAUUCUUUUUGUCACUGAUCUAGUGAGGGAAGUCUUACAGAGUGACACAGAGGAACAACCAACUUACCACCAAAAUGAAAGUGAUUAUAACAGACAUCUUCCUGCUGGGAAAAGCUACUAGGAAAAUGCAGUUGUGCAGUAGUGAUGGCACUGGGUCAUCAAGAGCCUCCUUUGGGAUUACUCCCGAGUGCCAAAAACUGUUUGUUUAAAUUGAGGUUUUCUAACAGGAUCACAUUUACCAUAUUUCAAAGAUUGAAUUACUGUCUUAUGUUCUGUAUCUCUCUGCUAAAUACAUAAAAAUUAAGGAAAUAUUUAUAGAAACUAUAAAUUAGUAAUAAACCAGCUUUUGUUCUGUAUUUUAAUAUUUAAAAUUAAAUAACUUUGUUCAAGAACCAAAUUAUGGUACAGUACCCAAAGCAAUUAUGAGUUUGUAAUUUUGUUUGAAAAUGGAUUUAUUUGAAAAGGGAGGCAUUUGGUAAUUGAGGUUCCAUUGUAUAUGUAAGAAAUUUAAGGCCUUGAUAUAAUGAAUAGGUUAGAACAGUUAGGAAAUUAAUGAAAAGCUAAAAACAAUUACAAAUUAAAGGUUGCUAGCCAGGCUAGAGAUGCUAUCAGCUAUAUGGGAUGAAGAACAGGUAGGUCCAAUAAAGGUAUCUGAUAUUGAGUUAGUUCUGGGGAAGAGAUGAGGAAAAUUCUGAAUUAGCAUUUUUUAACAUUUUCACUCAGGAUGAAGCUUUGGAAAGUUCAGAAAACAAAAAAAAGAUUUAGGUGUUAUAGUAAACUUAGAUGUGUGUCUGAAAACAAUGCACAGAGGCCAAAAAUGAAACAAAUUAGGUAUUGGUAUUAAUUUUCAGUAGUGUUAAAAGUAAAAGUCCAAAAAGUAAUAUUAAAGUUGUCUUUGGCGUAGAGUACAUAAAUAUAAAACAGUGGUGGACAUUACAUUUUUAUGAGUAUACUCUUGUUUACUUGCUCCAUUUCUAUUGUAACAUAUUCCAGACAAUGAAGCAAUAGUAGUUUGUCAAUAGGACAUACAAUAGGCAUACAGUCAAUAAAAUUACAUACAGUAUUUGAUUUCUGUCCAAAUUGUUCUUGGAGCAAUUUGGACGGUGGGAGUUAUUUUGUUACCGCCAUGCCAAAUCAUUCCCAGGUCCAAAUUAUUCCUGGGAGAAAUUUUGACCUGGGAGCGAUUUGGCAUGACACCAGGUCUGAUCUGAGGCAUCACAAGCCUCUACUGACACUUGACACCACAAGAGCUCGAUGAAAAGUUAUUUUCUAGGAUUUUAUUAGGGGGACGGCAAUGACAAUGUCAACAGGAAUGAUGAGGACAUUAAGAACAGCAAUGAGUGUAACAAUGUGGAUGAUAACAAAGGUGAUGGAGAUAACUAUGAGGAUGAUGAUAACAUCUGUGACAGUGGCGAGUGGGACGAUGACAACACCAAAGAUGAUAGCAAAGGAAGAGAAAUGAGCAGUGACUGAUAAAAGCCAUUGAUAAAUAUGUUGUUUUUCAUAAAUAUGAACUUUGCUUUUCCUGUAACUUGCUUCAUGUGAUGAUUCAAGAUAAUAAUUAUAAUAAUAAUUAUAAUUAUAAUUAUUAUAAUAAUAAUAAUAAUAAUAAUAAUAAUAAUAAUAAUAAUUUGUUAAAAGGACAUUUUGGUGUUGAUCUUGUAAUUAAUAGUUUUGAGUUGAAAAAUGUCUGACAAAAAUUUUUCUAAAUAUAAAAAGUUAACAUUUUUAAA